rnacentral:rRNA from 1 species
UACGUAGGGUGCGAGCGUUAAUCGGAAUUACUGGGCGUAAAGCGUGCGCAGGCGGUUUUGUAAGCCAGAUGUGAAGUCCCCGGGCUUAACCUGGGAAUGGCAUUUGGGACUGCAAGGCUUGAGUGCGGCAGAGGAGACUGGAAUUCCUGGUGUAGCAGUGAAAUGCGUAGAUAUCAGGAGGAACACCGAUGGCGAAGGCAGGUCUCUGGGCUGACACUGACGCUCAUGCACGAAAGCGUGGGGAGCAAACAGG